rnacentral:rRNA from 1 species
AAGGUUAAGCCUCACGGUUCAUUAGUACCGGUUAGCUCAACGCAUCGCUGCGCUUACACACCCGGCCUAUCAACGUCGUCGUCUUCAACGUUCCUUCAGGACCCUUAAAUGGUCAGGGAGAACUCAUCUCGGGGCAAGUUUCGUGCUUAGAUGCUUUCAGCACUUAUCUCUUCCGCAUUUAGCUACCGGGCAGUGCCAUUGGCAUGACAACCCGAACACCAGUGAUGCGUCCACUCCGGUCCUCUCGUACUAGGAGCAGCCCCCCUCAGUUCUCCAGCGCCCACGGCAGAUAGGGACCGAACUGUCUCACGACGUUCUAAACCCAGCUCGCGUACCACUUUAAAUGGCGAACAGCCAUACCCUUGGGACCUACUUCAGCCCCAGGAUGUGAUGAGCCGACAUCGAGGUGCCAAACACCGCCGUCGAUAUGAACUCUUGGGCGGUAUCAGCCUGUUAUCCCCGGAGUACCUUUUAUCCGUUGAGCGAUGGCCCUUCCAUUCAGAACCACCGGAUCACUAUGACCUGCUUUCGCACCUGCUCGCGCCGUCACGCUCGCAGUCAAGCUGGCUUAUGCCAUUGCACUAACCUCCUGAUGUCCGACCAGGAUUAGCCAACCUUCGUGCUCCUCCGUUACUCUUUAGGAGGAGACCGCCCCAGUCAAACUACCCACCAGACACUGUCCGCAACCCGGAUUACGGGUCCACGUUAGAACAUCAAACAUUAAAGGGUGGUAUUUCAAGGCCGGCUCCAUGCAGACUGGCGUCCACACUUCAAAGCCUCCCACCUAUCCUACACAUCAAGGCUCAAUGUUCAGUGUCAAGCUAUAGUAAAGGUUCACGGGGUCUUUCCGUCUUGCCGCGGGUACACUGCAUCUUCACAGCGAGUUCAAUUUCACUGAGUCUCGGGUGGAGACAGCCUGGCCAUCAUUACGCCAUUCGUGCAGGUCGGAACUUACCCGACAAGGAAUUUCGCUACCUUAGGACCGUUAUAGUUACGGCCGCCGUUUACCGGGGCUUCGAUCAAGAGCUUCGCUUGCGCUGACCCCAUCAAUUAACCUUCCGGCACCGGGCAGGCGUCACACCGUAUACGUCCACUUUCGUGUUUGCACAGUGCUGUGUUUUUAAUAAACAGUUGCAGCCAGCUGGUAUCUUCGACUGAUUUCAGCUCCAUCCGCGAGGGACUUCACCUACAUAUCAGCGUGCCUUCUCCCGAAGUUACGGCACCAUUUUGCCUAGUUCCUUCACCCGAGUUCUCUCAAGCGCCUUGGUAUUCUCUACCUGACCACCUGUGUCGGUUUGGGGUACGAUUUGAUGUUACCUGAUGCUUAGGGGCUUUUCCUGGAAGCAGGGCAUUUGUUGCUUCAGCACCGUAGUGCCUCGUCAUCACGCCUCAGCCUUGAUUUUCCGGAUUUGCCUGGAAAAUCAGCCUACACGCUUAAACCGGGACAACCGUCGCCCGGCCAACAUAGCCUUCUCCGUCCCCCCUUCGCAGUAACACCAAGUACAGGAAUAUUAACCUGUUUCCCAUCGACUACGCCUUUCGGCCUCGCCUUAGGGGUCGACUCACCCUGCCCCGAUUAACGUUGGACAGGAACCCUUGGUCUUCCGGCGAGCGGGCUUUUCACCCGCUUUAUCGUUACUUAUGUCAGCAUUCGCACUUCUGAUACCUCCAGCAUGCCUCACAGCACACCUUCACAGGCUUACAGAACGCUCCCCUACCCAACAACGCAUAAGCGUCGCUGCCGCAGCUUCGGUGCAUGGUUUAGCCCCGUUACAUCUUCCGCGCAGGCCGACUCGACCAGUGAGCUAUUACGCUUUCUUUAAAUGAUGGCUGCUUCUAAGCCAACAUCCUGGCUGUCUGGGCCUUCCCACAUCGUUUCCCACUUAACCAUGACUUUGGGACCUUAGCUGGCGGUCUGGGUUGUUUCCCUCUUCACGACGGACGUUAGCACCCGCCGUGUGUCUCCCGUGAUAACAUUCUCCGGUAUUCGCAGUUUGCAUCGGGUUGGUAAGUCGGGAUGACCCCCUUGCCGAAACAGUGCUCUACCCCCGGAGAUGAAUUCACGAGGCGCUACCUAAAUAGCUUUCGGGGAGAACCAGCUAUCUCCCGGUUUGAUUGGCCUUUCACCCCCAGCCACAAGUCAUCCGCUAAUUUUUCAACAUUAGUCGGUUCGGUCCUCCAGUUAGUGUUACCCAACCUUCAACCUGCCCAUGGCUAGAUCACCGGGUUUCGGGUCUAUACCCUGCAACUUAACGCCCAGUUAAGACUCGGUUUCCCUUCGGCUCCCCUAUUCGGUUAACCUUGCUACAGAAUAUAAGUCGCUGACCCAUUAUACAAAAGGUACGCAGUCACCCCAUAAAGAGGCUCCCACUGCUUGUACGUACACGGUUUCAGGUUCUUUUUCACUCCCCUCGCCGGGGUUCUUUUCGCCUUUCCCUCACGGUACUGGUUCACUAUCGGUCAGUCAGGAGUAUUUAGCCUUGGAGGAUGGUCCCCCCAUAUUCAGACAGGAUACCACGUGUCCCGCCCUACUCAUCGAGCUCACAGCAUGUGCAUUUUUGUGUACGGGGCUGUCACCCUGUAUCGCGCGCCUUUCCAGACGCUUCCACUAACACACACACUGAUUCAGGCUCUGGGCUGCUCCCCGUUCGCUCGCCGCUACUGGGGGAAUCUCGGUUGAUUUCUUUUCCUCGGGGUACUUAGAUGUUUCAGUUCUCCCGGUUCGCCUCAUUAACCUAUGGAUUCAGUUAAUGAUAGUGUGUCGAAACACACUGGGUUUCCCCAUUCGGAAAUCGCCGGUUAUAACGGUUCAUAUCACCUUACCGACGCUUAUCGCAGAUUAGCACGUCCUUCAUCGCCUCUGACUGCCAGGGCAUCCACCGUGUACGCUUAGUCGCUUAA